rnacentral:rRNA from 1 species
AAUAUUGGAUAAUGGGCGAAAGCCUGCCCCAGCCAGCCCUGGUGUGUGAAGAAGGUCUGCGGUUGGGAAAGCACUUUCUGUGGGGAGGAAGGGAAGGAAGUUAAUACAUAGCUGUUUGGACGUUACCGACAGAAGAAGCACCGGCUAACUUCGUGCCAGCAGCCGCGGUAAUACGAAGGGUGCAAGCGUUCAUUGGCAUUACUGGGCGUAUAGCGCGCGUAGGUAGGCUGUUAAGUUGGAAGUGAAAGCCCCGGGCUCAACCUGGAAACUGCUUUCAAAACUGGCAAGCUAGAGUAUGGCAGAGGGUGGUGGAAUUUCCUGUGUAGCGGUGAAAUACGUAGAUAUAGGAAGGAACACCAGUGGCGAAGGCGACCACCUGGGCUAAUACUGACACUGGGGUGCGAGAGCGUGGGGAGCAAAC